GGCUUUAUAGUCAUAUUAUGAUAUUAGACUGCAAUUCUAAAGGAGUAUUAAUUAUACUAAGGCUU
rnacentral:tRNA from 1 species